AACGAACGCUGGCGGCAUGCCUAACACAUGCAAGUCGAACGAGACCUUCGGGUCUAGUGGCGCACGGGUGCGUAACGCGUGGGAACCUGCCCUUAGGUUCGGAAUAACUCCCCGAAAGGGGUGCUAAUACCGGAUAAUGUCUUCGGACCAAAGAUUUAUCGCCUUUGGAUGGGCCCGCGUUGGAUUAGCUAGUUGGUAAGGUAAAAGCCUACCAAGGCGACGAUCCAUAGCUGGUCUGAGAGGAUGAUCAGCCACACUGGGACUGAGACACGGCCCAGACUCUCCUGGGAGGGAGAGGUGUGGAAUAUAGGAGACUGGGCGCGAGAGUGAGCUACAACUGUCGCGUGUGUGAGGAAAGGGCUAGGGGGGUAAAGCUCUUUUACCCGGGAUGAUAAUGACAGUACCGGGAGAAUAAGCUCCGGCUAACUCCGUG
rnacentral:rRNA from 1 species